CUCCCGCGCGACAGUUACCUAACACCUCGCCGGGUGUUUGUCCCGGCUGGCGUCUUACUCAUUCCUCCUGGUCACCAGCAACGCUGUGCACCUCCCCGGUUCUCCUGAACUCCGUAAACCCGACCCACACAGCACCUCCAUGGAGGAAGAGCCGCUUUAAAGCCCCGGACUCGACACGGAAUCCCAUCUCGAUACCCAGACGGACCCCAGACCAGCCCGAGGCCGGCCCUGGAUUCACCGCCCAGGAGCUCCCUUCCGUGUACCUGUUGAUGUGUGUAAAGAUGUCCUGGAGGGCUCCGAGAGCAUGUCUGUGUUUCGUAAAUUAGGAACUAUUCGGGGCACGCAGAAGAGUGCAGGAAAUGAAGUUAGCAACACCCACGCCCUCCACUAUGGGGAUUAAAUGUAUCGUUGUGCUUCAUUUACCUGUUAAAAACUGCCUUCGUGGGACUUCCCUGGUAGUCCAGUGGGUAAGACUCCACACUCCCAAUGCAGGGGGCCCAGGUUCCAUCCCUGGUCGAGGAACUAGAUCCCUCAUGCAUGCCGCAACUAAGAGUCGGAAUGCCACAACUAAAGAUCCCGCAUGCUACAACUAAGACCCAGUGCAGCCAAAAUAAACAUUUAAAAA